GCCUGGGUGGCUUAGUUGGUUAAGUGUCUGACUUAGGCUCAGGUCAUAAUCUCACGGUUCGUGGGUUUGAGCCCCUUGUCAAGCU
rnacentral:tRNA from 1 species